AACGAACGCUGGCGGCAUGCCUAACACAUGCAAGUCGAACGAGACCUUCGGGUCUUGUGGCGCACGGGUGCGUAACGCGUGGGAACCUGCCCUUAGGUUCGGAAUAACUCCCCGAAAGGGGUGCUAAUACCGGAUAAUGUCUUCGGACCAAAGAUUUAUUGCCUUUGGAUGGGCCCGCGUUGGAUUAGCUAGUUGGUAGGGUAAAAGCCUACCAAGGCGACGAUCCAUAGCUGGUCUUAGAGGAUGAUCAGCCACACUGGGACUGAGACACGGCCCAGACUCCUACGGGAGGAAGCAGUGGGGAAUAUUGGACAAUGGGCGAAAGCCUGAUCCAGCAAUGCCGCGUGAGUGAUGAAGGCCUUAGGGUUGUAAAGCUCUUUUAACCGGGAUGAUAAUGACGGUACCGGGAGAAUAAGCGCCGGCUAACUCCGUG
rnacentral:rRNA from 1 species